CGGUCCAUGUCCUAUCAGCUUGUUGGUGAGGUAAUGGCUCACCAAGGCGACGACGGGUACCGGGACUGAGAGGUUGACCCGGCGCAUCGGGACUGAGACACUGCCCGGACUCCUACGGGAGGCUGCAGUAACGAAUAUUGGUCAAUGGGCGAAAGCCUGAACCAGCGACGCCGCGUGUGGGAGGAAGCCCUUCGGGGUGUAAACCACUGUCAGGGAUUACCAAGCAAUGGAGGCUAAUACCCUCCUGCGUUGAGGCGUCCCAGAGGAAGUCACGGCUAACUUCGUGCCAGCAGCCGCGGUAAUACGAAGGUGGCGAGCGUUGUUCGGAAUCACUGGGCUUAAAGAGCACGUAGGCGGACUGCCAAGCGUCUUGUGAAAUCCCCCGGCUCAACCGGGGAAUUGCUGGGCGAACUGGUAGUCUUGAGGCAAGUAGGGGCAGAUGGAACUCUUGGUGGAGCGGUGGAAUGCGUAGAUAUCAAGAGGAACGCCAGAGGCGAAGGCGAUCUGCUGGGCUUGACCUGACGCUGAGGUGCGAAAGCCAGGGGAGCAAACGGGAUUAGAUACCCCGGUAGUCCUGGCCAUAAACGAUGUCCACUAGAUCGGUGAACUUCUGACAGUGUGCCGGUCGAAACAAAAGCGUUAAGUGGACCGCCUGGGGAGUACGGUCGCAAGGCUAAAACUCAAAGGAAUUGACGGGGGCUCACACAAGCGGUGGAGCAUGUUGCUUAAUUCGAUGCAACGCGAAGAACCUUAUCCUGGGCUUGACAUGCUUGGAUGCCCAUCUGGAAACAGAGUAGGCUGCCCUUCGGGGUGAAACUUGCACAGGUGCUGCAUGGCUGUCGUCAGCUCGUGUCGUGAGAUGUUGGGUUAAGUCCCGUAACGAGCGAAACCCUUGUCGUUAGUUGCCAGCGCGUAAUGGCGGGGACUCUAGCGAGACUGCCGGUGUUAAACCGGAGGAAGGUGGGGAUGACGUCAAGUCCUCAUGGCCUUUAUGCCCAGGGCUGCAAACGUGCUACAAUGGCGAGGACAAACCGACGCAAAGCCGCGAGGUCGAGCAAAUCGGAGAAACCUUGCCCCAGUUCGGAUUGGAGUCUGCAACUCGACUCCACGAAGUCGGGAUCGCUAGUAAUCGCGUAUCAGCGUGACGCGGUGAAUAUGUUCCUGAGCAUUGUACACACCGCCCGUCAAGUCAUGGAAGCUGGGAGCGCCCGAAGUCGGG
rnacentral:rRNA from 1 species